rnacentral:rRNA from 1 species
UGGGGAAUAUUGGGCAAUGGGCGCAAGCCUGACCCAGCAACGCCGCGUGAAGGAUGAAGGUUUUCGGAUUGUAAACUUCUUUUAAGAGGGACGAUAAUGACGGUACCUCUUGAAUAAGCCCCGGCUAACUACGUGCCAGCAGCCGCGGUAAUACGUAGGGGGCAAGCGUUAUCCGGAUUUACUGGGUGUAAAGGGCGUGUAGGCGGGAUUUCAAGUCAGAUGUGAAAAACCGAAGGCUCAACCUUCGGCCUGCAUUUGAAACUGAAGUUCUUGAGUGCUGGAGAGGCUAACGGAAUUCCUAGUGUAGCGGUGAAAUGCGUAGAUAUUAGGAAGAACACCAGUGGCGAAGGCGGUUAGCUGGACAGUAACUGACGCUGAGGCGCGAAAGCGUGGGGAGCGAAACAAGGAUUAGAUACCC